CUUCUCCGCGGGGUGCGGGACCCGCGCCGGCUCACUUCGGAGAGCGCGACCCCUUAAAGGGACCUAGGCGCUUCCGCAGCGGGGUCCCGAGCAGCGGCCCCCGCAGACGGAGUCACUGACUUUGAGUUAUGAAAAAAGAACCUAUAGCAGCUUGACAGCGAGGAGCUCUCUGCACCUACCCUCCAGCAACACUGGUGACUCCCUUAUUGAAUACUUUUCACAACCAUUUGGCCUUCCUCCAGACCUUGCAAGGGUCUGUGAUCUAGACUUUUCUGCCAUAAGUCAGAAAGAAAUGUUCACUAUGCUUCUGCAUCUGCUGCAACUCCUUGGGCUAAGGCUGGAGAAAUGAGCUUGCUGUUCUGGAAAGCAUCUUGUUUACUGACUUCCAUGUAGAGGAAUAUAUGGUUUCCAUAUAGAGGAAGGUGGUUGGGAAUGCAUGUUGAAUGAGCCAAAUGACAGUAUCUGACAGAGACAGAUCAACAUACACAGGGACAGAUCAUCCCGUGCAAGGUGGCAACCACUAUGACAUAGUUACAAGAGGCUACUGUAGGGCAGCGUGGUCUGGGGGCUACAGUCAGUGCAACGUGCAAAGGCUGACACCUGAAAAGACAAUUUAUCCAAUGGACAAAAGAAUUUCGGGCAAAGAAACAGAGCCAAGCACAGGUAUGAAAAAGCCAAAUUGGCACACAAAUAAUUUAGGGUUUGAGGGUUGGAAUCCAGUGUGUAUAUAAGAAAGUGGAAGAGGUUAGAAGGGCUGUCAAGGGUGAGACCGUGAAGGCCCUACCUAGUUAUGUGAUUCUGAAGAAUUUGGCCUUGGGGCGCCUGGGCAUCUCUGUCAGUUAAGUGUCUGGCUCUUGGUUUUGGCUCAAGUC